rnacentral:rRNA from 1 species
AUUGAACGCUGGCGGCAUGCUUUACACAUGCAAGUCGAACGGCAGCGCGGGCUUCGGCCUGGCGGCGAGUGGCGAACGGGUGAGUAAUGCGUCGGAACGUGCCCAGUAGUGGGGGAUAGCCCGGCGAAAGCCGGAUUAAUACCGCAUACGACCUGAGGGUGAAAGCGGGGGACCGAAAGGCCUCGCGCUAUUGUAGCGGCCGACGUCGGAUUAGCUAGUUGGUGGGGUAAAGGCUUACCAAGGCGACGAUCCGUAGCUGGUCUGAGAGGACGACCAGCCACACUGGGACUGAGACACGGCCCAGACUCCUACGGGAGGCAGCAGUGGGGAAUUUUGGACAAUGGGGGCAACCCUGAUCCAGCCAUGCCGCGUGCGGGAAGAAGGCCUUCGGGUUGUAAACCGCUUUUGUUCGGGAAGAAAUCCUCUGGGCUAAUACCCCGGGGGGAUGACGGUACCGGAAGAAUAAGCACCGGCUAACUACGUG